CCUACGGGAGGCAGCAGUGGGGAAUAUUGCACAAUGGGCGCAAGCAUGAUGCAGCGACGCCGCGUGCGGGAUGGAGGCCUUCGGGUUGUAAACCGCUUUUGUUCAAGGGCAAGGCACGGUUUUUGGCCGUGUUGAGUGGAUUGUUCGAAUAAGCACCGGCUAACUACGUGCCAGCAGCCGCGGUAAU
rnacentral:rRNA from 1 species